CUGGAGAGGGAGAAUUGUAGCCCCAAACUUCAUACAGAAGGAUCCAGGGUAUUCAAGACUUCAAGGGUUAUUCAGACUCCAGUUAAGACAGACCAUCACUCUGGCAUACAAGAUUGUGUUCAAAAUCAAUCAAAUCUAGAAAGAAUAACUCUUCUAAUGUAUUCCAGCCUUUACGGAAGUGGCAAUUCCAGUUCAAUGAAGGACCCUACACUGUUGAAGAAAUAUCAUUACUCCUCUUUGCAUCUUUCCAGUAAUUUUCAUCACGAUUUCUACUGAUUUCAUGCCUGGAUGCGAUUGCUUCAGAUCUGAGCAGCUGGAAGGGGCUGUCAAAAAAGUCACUGCUGUCAACUACCCAUGGAAAAAUGCCCACUGCCAUCAGAGCAUCCCCACUGCAGCUGGUCAAAGCCAGCUGACGCUGAAGACGUCGUCUCCGAAAAGGGUAAAAAUAAUGCACAGGGCUCUGGGGAAUCUUGUCACUCUCCAGACGUGCUGUUUCUUAGUCCCAUAUGAAAAUAAGCAGUAAAGAAAAAAUUGUGUGGAGUCAUUG